rnacentral:rRNA from 1 species
AUUGAACGCUGGCGGAAGGCCUAACACAUGCCAGUCGGGCGAGCGGAGGACGGGUGGGUAAUGUAUGGGGAUCUGCCUGAUGGAGGGGUAUAACUACUGGAAAAGGUAGCUAAUACCGCAUACCAUCAGAUGAACACAUAUGGGAUUAGCUGGUAGGUGAGGUAACGGCGCACCUAGGCGACGCUCCCUAGCUGGUCUGAGAGGAUGAUCAGCCACACUGGGACUGAGACACGGCCCAGACUCCGACGGGAGGCAGCAGUGGGGAAUAUUGCACAAUGGGCGCAAGCCUGAUGCAGCCAUGCCGCGUGUAUGAAGAAGGCCUUCGGGUUGUAAAGUACUUUCAGUCGGGAGGCGUUACCGACAGAAGAAGCACCGGCUAACUCCGUGCCAGCAGCCGCGGUAAUUC